rnacentral:tRNA from 1 species
GUUAACUUAUCAAAAAAAGUGUAUUUGUUUUAAGAUCAAAAGAUAAAUGUUAACU